rnacentral:lncRNA from 1 species
AGCGGAAGACAUAAUCUAAUAUAAUAACCAAGACCAGUAUGAUAAUGACAACACGCAUCUCUACCCGGAAUCUGGUGUCACGAUAUCACGGACAGACUAAGAUUACUACAACAAUUGUCUGAAAGAAAUACAAUCUGUCUGGAAAUUUAAUGAAAACAGAGUACAUAAUAAAGUAGAAGAGAACGUCGGGCCUGCGGACGCCUGCAGCACUACCUUGGAAUCUCUGGCUGGACUAAAGGGAGGCUCCCCAAGUGCUACUGUCCAAAAAUUGCUCCGGAAUCUGCACAUAGUGCAGAGUGUAGCAUCAGCACAACCGACCCCAUGUGCUAGUAAGUGCCUGACCUAAUCCCGGCGAAGUAGUGAUGAGGCUAGGACCAGACUCCAGAUAAACCUCUGCAGUUAUAUAAUAUACAACGGAAAAUAAACAGGAAUAAACAAUUAACAUGGGAGGGGUACAUGCUAUGGGGGAAAUAUCGAAUCCAGCAGAAACUUAAGAGAAACAUGAGAGAACAAUUCAAGAUUUACAACAAAACCAUAGUAACAUUGUUGCGGCACGCAACCCGAUCCCUAUCAUUUAACACUGUUGUGGCGUGCAACCCGAUCUGUUUAUAUCACUGUUGCGGCGUGAAACUCGAUCCAAUAUAACAUUGUUGCAGCGUGCAACCUGAUCCAACAUAACAUUGUUUCGGUGUGCAACCCGUUCCAUAUAUAGUAUUAUUGCGGCAUGCAGCCCAAUCCAACAUAACAUUAUUGCAGCGUGAAACCCGUUCCAUAUAUAGUAUUGUUGCAGCAUGCAAGCCGAUCCAACAUAACAUUUAUAUACUUUUAGCAACAACCAUACCAAGAGUCCCGACAAAGGAUCAACAAUAAGCUAUACUAUCCCGACAAGGGAUUCGACAGUAAAAGUAAAUAUGUCCCGGCAAGGGAGAAACAACUAUAACCAAUAUUAACCCAACUUCUACUCAUCUCAGCUAACACCAAUACUCAAUCAUAAGUAAUUUCCACGAAAAAAAUCUUAAUCCUUGCUCAAUAUCGAGAAUCAUCAAUUAAAGCAUCCGUAGUACUAUUUAAGAACACAAAAUAAAUUGCAAUUUAAGACUCACGAUCAUGCUCAAAACCAACAUAUAGAUACUCGUCACCAUGCCAAUAUGUCGUACUCAACAAGAAGCAAAUAGCAAAUAGGACACAACUCCUAAUCCCCCAAGCUAAGGUUAGACCGAACACUUACCUCGAACUUCCACGACCAACUCAAACCUCAAACAAUGCCUUUCCUUUCGAAUUUUGACUCCAAAUCAAUUGUAUCUAGACAUAAUCGACUUAAUAACAUCAAUAAACGCUAAACAAUUCAAUUCCAAUGCUUAAUUAUAUCUUUCCCAUCAUUCUUCCCAAAAAGUCAAAAAUUGACCCCGGACUCACUUGGUCAAAAUACGAGGUUCGGACCAAAACCCGAUCACCCAUUCACCCAUGAGACCAAAUAUAUAAUUAGUUCCAAAAUUCGACCCCAAAACGAGGUCUAAAUAACAAUUAUACAAAAAGCCCAAACUCUACCCAAAUCUCUAAUUUUCUACCCUUAAGAACUUGAUCCUAGAAAUCUAAUGAGUGUUAAUGGAAAUUGAAGAAAAUGAGUCUAAGAUUACAUACCUAUGAAUUGGUGGUGAAAUCCUCUUUCAAAAAUCGCCCAAUUUGGAGUUUGGAAGAAGUUAUGAAAUUUUGAUUAAACCCCAAUUUGGCUUCUGUUUUAAAAUCACUGGAUAGGCCUUCAUCGCAUUCGCGAUAGGCCUGUCGCGUUCGCAAAGAGUUGGGCC